rnacentral:rRNA from 1 species
UGGGGAAUCUUGCACAAUGGGGGCAACCCUGAUGCAGCGACGCCGCGUGAGCGAUGAAGCCCUUCGGGGCGUAAAGCUCUUUCGACCGGAACGAUAAUGACGGUACCGGGAGAAGAAGCUGCGGCUAACUACGUGCCAGCAGCCGCGGUAAUACGUAGGCAGCAAGCGUUGUUCGGAGUUACUGGGCGUAAAGAGUGCGUAGGCGGUUAUCUAAGUUCGGUGUGAAAUCUCCCGGCUUAACUGGGAGGGUGCGCCGAAGACUGGGAAGCUGGAGUGUGGGAAAGGCAGGCGGAAUUCCUGGUGUAGCGGUGAAAUGCGUAGAUAUCAGGAGGAACACCGGCGGUGUAGACGGCUUGCUAGACCAUAACUGACGCUGAGGCACGAAAGCGUGGGUAGCAAACA